UACAGAGGUCUCAAGCGUUGUACGGAUUCAUUGGGCGUAAAGGGUGCGUAGGCGGCGUGGUAAGUCGGAUGUGAAAUCUCGGAGCUUAACUCCGAAACUGCAUUCGAUACUGCCGUGCUUGAGGACUGGAGAGGAGACUGGAAUUUCAUCGGUGUAGCAGGUGAAAUGCGUAGAGAUCGAUGAGGAAGACCAGUGGCGAAGGCGGGUCUCUGGACAGUUCCUGACACUGAGGCACGAAGGCCAGGGGAGCAAACGGG
rnacentral:rRNA from 1 species